GACGAACGCUGGCGGCGUGCUUAACACAUGCAAGUCGGACGGAAAGGCCCUGCUUUUGUGGGGUGCUCGAGUGGCGAACGGGUGAGUAACACGUGAGUAACCUGCCCCUGACUUUGGGAUAACUUCAGGAAACUGGGGCUAAUACCGGAUAGGAGCUCCUGCUGCAUGGUGGGGGUUGGAAAGUUUCGGCGGUUGGGGAUGGACUCGCGGCUUAUCAGCUUGUUGGUGGGGUAGUGGCUUACCAAGGCUUUGACGGGUAGCCGGCCUGAGAGGGUGACCGGCCACAUUGGGACUGAGAUACGGCCCAGACUCCUACGGGAGGCAGCAGUGGGGAAUAUUGCACAAUGGGCGGAAGCCUGAUGCAGCAACGCCGCGUGCGGGAUGACGGCCUUCGGGUUGUAAACCGCUUUCGCCUGUGACGAAGCGUGAGUGACGGUAAUGGGUAAAGAAGCACCGGCUAACUACGUG
rnacentral:rRNA from 1 species